GACACAUUUCCUGCUUCUUGGACUGGGUCGCCCACGAGAGGCACCGAAGCACGCAUGGAAAGUUCAACCAAGAUCUUCACGCUCACUGCCUCUGGUUCUGUGAAAUUUAAGUCUGCAGCUAAAGGAGGGGAAAGGAAUCCCUACGCCUUCCCUGCUGCCAACAACCAAAGCAAACUCUCAAGCCAAGAACCCCAGUGGAUUCUUUCAAUUCAAUUUCUUCACAACUUUCUCCCUGCUGGCAAAUGUUAAAUUUCUAUUUCAAGGAGAAAUAAGAGCUUCAUUAACUUGCCUGUCUUCAGGCUUCUCUAA